rnacentral:lncRNA from 1 species
AGGGAUUGAACUUGAGUCCUUGUGCUUGCGCAGCAGCCCUGGCCUCCUAUGAAUUUGAGCGCACAACGAGCAUAUCUGCAGGAAAUGAGGAGUUUCAGGACGCCAUCAGGAGGGCUGUGCCUGACGGGCACACAUUUAAGGGCUUCCCCAUCCACUUCGUGUACAGAAAUGCAAGGCGUGCAUUUGCCACGUGUCUUCGGUCCCCGUUUUGUGAAGAAAUAAUCUGUUGCCGUGGAGACCAAGUGCACUGGCAGUGCGUGUCCAGUGUUCACUUACCCUGAGUCGGCCUGUGCUGUUUGGAUCAUGUUUGCUUGUAAAUAUCGCUCUGUGUUGUAGGACUAAAUUGCCACAAGAAUUAUACCUGCAUUUUAUUGGAGUUUUUCACAUUGUGCACUACCAGCUAUUGGAGGUUUCUUAUUUUAAAAUAUCAUAAUCUAGCUUGGAUGUCAUAUUUCAGAUUUGUAUAGAUAUUUUGGUUUUUUGUGUGUGUGUGUUUCAUUUUUUGGUGUUUUUUUUUUUGGUAUCAGGGACCAAACUCAGGACCUUGUGCUUGCAAGGCAGCGCGCGGAACCACUGAGCUAAAUCCCCAGCCCUUUGUAUAGAUAUUUUAAAAUGAUCAUGUGUAUAUUUAAAAAUCAAAGAUGAAAAUGUGUAUAAAUCUUAGUUGAAUGUAGUAUAAAUUAAGUAUAUAUUCUAUUUUAAUAAAUGCUGCUUUGUCUGUAGGUAUCUGGUAGUUUAAAUAUGAAUAUAAAAUUUACUCAGUUUUUUAACACUUAUAAGUAACCAGAGAAGUAUUUGUCUAAUAAGAUCAAAAUGAUGAUUAUUUUUCGUAGGUGAAUGAGAUUAUCUUUCACAAAUUAAGGAGAAAUUAACCUUACAACUGUACAGCCAUACCACCCUGAAUGCGCCCAAUCUCGUCAUAUCUGAAGCUAAGCAGGGCUGGGCCUGUUAGUACUUGGAUGAGAAACCUCACAACAGACUUGCUUAUUACGUGGGUGAAAAUAUAUUUUACCAAGUCAUCACUUUUGUGGUUCACCUAUGAUGCUAGGGAUCUUUGAGAUUUUCCAGAAAUGCAUGAGAAGACUCUGAAGUAAGAACAGGAAAAAAUACCAGGAAAGCAUAGAUAUGAAUAACAAAGCUCACAUGAAAGUACAUGGAUAAUUUAUAAAUACUUAUUAUCAAAAUUGAGUAUUUUAGAAAAAAAUAGGUUGCACCCUUUUGUCAUGAACAUUUUCUGUAAUUAACAUUGCGAGUCUAUCCCUGAUUUUUGGUGGUCAAAAGAUUAAUUUGUUUUUGGUUUUUUUGUUUUUUAUUUAUAUAUUAAUUGGUACAUUUUAGGUAUGAAAUACGUUUACAUUUAUCAUUGGGUGCUUGUACCUGAACGUGAUGAAUCUUGGUUCUUAUUUUUUUCCCCAUUACCUGUGCGCCCUUCACCCCCUCCACCCC